UCAUCCCAGCACCUACACCUCCCAACAGCGCUUCGGUUUAGCGGUGAGCCUGAGUCACUCUUCCUGGGCUCCCCCUGGCCUGGCUGAUGCAACAUGGCCUGAAGUUGAGUAGAAGAAGCACGGAGCUUCUACUCAAUGUUGGAGCCGCCAGCAGAGGGCAGCCUUUGCACACCCACGGCGGCAUCCCCUGGAGCCACGUGACACCAGCUUUGCAUCAUCCCUCCCGGCGUCCAGGGGCACAAGAGCAAGGCUCUGGGACUAGCCACCGCCAGGGCUGAGCCCGCAGGAAUGCAUCUGGGCCUCAGAGGGAGCAGCGCCCCAAGCUUUUUGUGCCGCGGAGCCUGACCUGCUGCUGGUGUCACAGACAGAGCUCGUGGGUCCCCCGCAGACCUGCAGCUGUACACUCGGUCUUACCUACAGGCUGGCUGUGAUGGCUCAGAAAGGCAGACGCUGGGAAUUCUCUGGUCGCUCCCAGGAUGGAAUGAAGCCCCCUCGUUUUCACACUCACACACAGUACCCUGGGAGUGAGUGUGGCUGGCACCCUGGGGCCCCGGUAGAGUCUGUCAGGCUUUCAUAAUCGGGACAGAGGACAGAGGAGCCGGGGAAAGGAGGCCAACCGAAUACCGGAUGUUUGCAACCCUUGGCGUCACCAUCAUCCAGUGUCUUCAGAUACAAGGAAACAAAACAAUUUGGCAAAUUGUAUAUUUUUCUCCCUACCUAAUCCCUCAAGAAUAAAUGAGUCAUGGCAAUGCG